GAUGAACGCUGGCGGCGUGCCUAAUACAUGUAAGUCGAACGGAGAGCAUUAGCUUCGGUUGGUGCUUUUAGUGGCGCACGGGUGAGUAACGCGUGGAUAAUCUGCCCUUCAGUUGGGAAUAACUCAUCGAAAGGUGGGCUAAUACCGAAUAACGCUGUGAGACCUUGGUCGAUCAGCCAAAGAGAGCCUCUGCUUGCAUGCCCUUGCUGAAGGAUGAGUCCGCGUACCAUUAGCUUGUUGGUAGGGUAAUGGCCUACCAAGGCGACGAUGGUUAGCUGGUCUGAGAGGAUGAUCAGCCACACUGGAACUGAGACACGGUCCAGACUCCUACGGGAGGCUG
rnacentral:rRNA from 1 species